UAAGAUAUAACCGACAAGAACAUCGUUCUCGUGUGUAUGAGCUCGGAAGCAUGACCAUCCACUUCAAAUCGAAUUACUGAAAACAAAAAGCUUGCAUACAACCAGUCUGCAAGAGGCCACCAUUAUCCAGCCCACUGAAUUUCCCGUACUGUUUUGGUCCCUCGUAGUUGGAAAUAUUAUAAAACAACAUCAACAUUACAGUUGUAGCAGAUGGGAAGGUAUUGGCAUUGCGAGGACCUUUAUAGUACUGUAUAGUAUAUAAUACUAAAGAGGAAAAGAGGAAAUAGUAAGUAUACAUAUAAAAUAUAUACAUGUGUUGUCUUGUAACAGUGCGAGGGAUACAGUAGUACCCACUUGAGCCUUGAUCGUACAGGACAGUGGACCUGUUGAUUUUGUUUGCUACUCAGAGAAGCCUUAUCAGUUUUGAACUCUUACCUCGUUUACCUCGUCCGUGCUUCUGAAAUUGGGUGUAAACUGUUUUUUUAGUGGGAUUCGACGUUGUGCCCGAGAAGAUCCAUUAGACAGUAUUGAAUUCGCUGGGAUAUCCAGGGCGAAUUCGCAUCUGGGCUUUUUCAUCUGUCUACGAAGUGGUGGAAAUGAGAAAGUGGAGAUAGUGCUCGUGAAUGCUGGUAGCUGUGAUCAUAAAACGUUGGUUGUUAACUGGUGAGCCGCCAUGGUGUUGUUGACAUGCUUUAAUGCUAAGCAAUAUCAGCUCGUGAGUGGGGUGAAAAAUCAGUUUUUAUGAUAAAGUAAGGCUAAACGACAUUGGAAAGCUAGAAAAGGACGCAUACUUGAAAAAACAUGGGAUGUUUUAUAUCCAAAUCAAUAGAUGAGAGAGGCACAAAGAAAAAGUCAGGAAAUGGGGGGGAGAUUGCUGUUUUUGUGCCAGGCCUACGCACUCCUAAAACCAUUGACUUUGGGAGAUCACUUCAUAGCUACUUGUCUCCAGACUUGAUUGACCGCAUUUCAGCUCUUAGGACGCGCAUUGUUGUCAUGGCAGCAGGAGAGGGUUCGGCUGCAACCAAACCAAGGAGAAAGACAGCAACCCAACAUGGUGGUUCUACUUUGGCUGAUCUGCAGCAGGCUCUUGAAGAUUAUCUACCUGUUUUGCUAGGAUUAACCAAGGAAGGAAGCCAAUACAAAGAUUUGGUAGAAUUUAUUUGGGUAAAUCAGGAGGACGAUGAACAGGAAACAGCAAUAUCAAAUGCGUGGUAUGAGGUUUUAUCUGUUCUACACAUGAUGGCUAUGCUGUCUUUGUCACAAGCAAAUUUUUUACUGAUUCCAAAAGCUCAUAGUGACGGUUACCAGCCAAAGGUGACAGAAGAAAAUAAGAAGGGCGCGAUCAACAUAUUUCUAAAGGCAGCAGGAUAUUUAGAUUGUGCUGUUCGUUGUGUCUUGCCACAGUUACCAGAUGAAAUCAAGAGGAAGCUUCCAGCAGAUCUGAAUGAAGGAGUAUUGCAAGCUCUCGCGGUCCAAGCAUUAGGACAGGGAGUAGACAUCCAACUUGGAUUAGCAAUUGAUAAUGCAAAGGCUACCUUAGCAGUGAAACGAAGGCUAGCCUGUGAGGAAGUUAAGUACUGGCACCAGGCUCAAGAGAGCACAUCAAAUCUUCCUUUGGGAGGUGAUUGGGGAGUAAAACACCAGCUUUUCAUCAAGUGGAAACAUUCAGAAGCAAAGGCUGCAGCAUACUACUAUCAUGGUUUAAUACUAGAUGAGGGGAAUGCAGAGAACACACAUGCUAAUGCAGUAUCAUCGCUUCAGGCAGCAGAGCAGUUUCUAAAAGACAGUAAAAAAGCUUGUACCGAUUUCUGCCAGGCAACUCCAACUACAAGUGUGCCUCCUCUCUGGGGUGCUAUGAAGUAUCUAUCUGAGAAAAUUCCGAAGGAUUCUUCAAGCAAGGCGCACAUGAACAGGGAUGUUUAUAGUCGUGAAAAGGUUCCAGAAACUCCGCCAAAGUUGCCUGACUUUUCAGUAGCAUUGAAACCUGCGGAGUAUGACUUGCCUCCAAUUGAUCAUAGAUGGAGAGCAGAAGUUGACAUGCAACAAUAUCCGGUUUCAUCUUUGGAAGAAAAUAAAAGAGAGGGAAAACUCGAGUUAUUUCAAAUUGAUCAACUGAAAAAAUGAAGAUCAUUUAAGCUUUUCAGGGGAUUGUAGCAAGAGCACGGGCAUUCUCGCAAGACCUUUCUCUUGGUCUUCAAUGCAGCGAUCUGCUAAAGCAGAAAUGGGAUGUAAACUACAUUGUAAACUGAGAUUACAAUAUUAUGAAGGGGAAUGCAUCUAAAUCAGAAGUUGUUCUUUGGGUAAAUUGCCAUGAGCAGGGAGAUUUUCAUCUGCGCAAGUUAUCCAUGGGUUUAACCUGGCCAAUUGUGCCUCUAGGUGAUUUGACCCUUGCUAGAUGUGAAAUGUCCUCAUCUGAUAUUUUAUUCUGUUUAUUUUGCAAUUUCUUUUACAGUACUGAAAUAUUAACAAAAUAAUAAAUAACAGCGUACAAUACUGAUAUCAAAAACUUAUUUAUGUCAAAGAAAAUUCAAUGUUAGGUAUUGUAAAGAUCCCUUAAUACUACUUACGGUUAAUGCUUUGUUGAGUUUGGCCAUA